GACAGAGGGUGCAAACGUUGUUCGGAAUUACUGGGCGUAAAGCGCGUGUAGGCGGCCCUGCAAGUCGGGUGUGAAAUCCCACGGCUCAACCGUGGAAGUGCACUCGAAACUGCAGGGCUAGAGUCCUGGAGAGGAAGGUGGAAUGCUUGGUGUAGAGGUGAAAUUCGUAGAUAUCAAGCGGAACACCGGUGGCGAAGGCGGCCUUCUGGACAGUGACUGACGCUGAGGCACGAAAGCGUGGGGAGCAAACAGG
rnacentral:rRNA from 1 species